rnacentral:SRP_RNA from 1 species
GCUGGGUGCAGUGGUACAUGCCUAUAGUCUCAGCUACUCAGGAGACUGAGGCAGUAGGAUCACUUGAGGCCAGAAGUUCUGGGUUGUAGUGUAGUAUCCUGAUCACGUAUCUGCCCUAAGUUUGGCAUCAACAUGAUGACCUCCUGGGAGCAGGGGACCACAGGUUGCCUAAGGAGGGGUGAACUGGCCCAGGUCAGAAAUGCGGCAGGUCAAACCUCGCUUGCUGAUCAGUAGUAGAACCGUGCUUUUGAAUAGCCACUGCACUCUAUCCUGGGCAACAUAGCAAGACUCCAUCUCU